AGCGAACGCUGGCGGCAGGCCUAACACAUGCGAGUCGAACGAACUCUUCGGAGUUAGUGGCGGACGGGUGAGUAACACGUGGGAACGUGCCUUUUGGUUCGGAAUAACUCAGGGAAACUUGUGCUAAUACCGAAUGUGCCCUUCGGGGGAAAGAUUUAUCGCCACUAGAGCGGCCCGCGUCUGAUUAGCUAGUUGGUGAGGUAACGGCUCACCAAGGCGACGAUCAGUAGCUGGUCUGAGAGGAUGACCAGCCACACUGGGACUGAGACACGGCCCAGACUCCUACGGGAGGCAGCAGUGGGGAAUCUUGCGCAAUGGGCGAAAGCCUGACGCAGCCAUGCCGCGUGAAUGAUGAAGGUCUUAGGAUUGUAAAAUUCUUUCACCGGGGACGAUAAUGACGGUACCCGGAGAAGAAGCCCCGGCUAACUUCGUG
rnacentral:rRNA from 1 species